GACGAACGCUGGCGGCGUGCCUAAUACAUGCAAGUCGAGCGGAUCUUUGGGAGCUUGCUCCCAAAGGUUAGCGGCGGACGGGUGAGUAACACGUGGGUAACCUGCCUAUGAGACUGGGAUAACUCCGGGAAACCGGGGCUAAUACCGGAUAAUUCUUUUCUACACAUGUAGAAAAGCUGAAAGAUGGUUUUGGCUAUCACUCAUAGAUGGGCCCGCGGCGCAUUAGCUAGUUGGUGAGGUAACGGCUCACCAAGGCGACGAUGCGUAGCCGACCUGAGAGGGUGAUCGGCCACACUGGGACUGAGACACGGCCCAGACUCCUACGGGAGGCAGCAGUAGGGAAUCUUCCGCAAUGGACGAAAGUCUGACGGAGCAACGCCGCGUGAGUGAUGAAGGUUUUCGGAUCGUAAAACUCUGUUGUCAGAGAAGAACAAGUCGGAGAGUAACUGCUCCGGCCUUGACGGUAUCUGACCAGAAAGCCACGGCUAACUACGUGCCAGCCGCCGCGGUAAUAC
rnacentral:rRNA from 1 species